GAUGAACGCUGGCGGCGUGCCUAAUACAUGCAAGUCGAGCGAACAGAUAAGGAGCUUGCUCCUUUGACGUUAGCGGCGGACGGGUGAGUAACACGUGGGUAACCUACCUAUAAGACUGGGAUAACUUCGGUAAACCGGAGCUAAUACCGGAUAAUAUUUCGAACCGCAUGGUUCGAUAGUGAAAGAUGGUUUUGCUAUCACUUAUAGAUGGACCCGCGCCGUAUUAGCUAGUUGGUAAGGUAACGGCUUACCAAGGCGACGAUACGUAGCCGACCUGAGAGGGUGAUCGGCCACACUGGAACUGAGACACGGUCCAGACUCCUAAGGGAGGCAGCAGUAGGGAAUCUUCCGCAAUGGGCGAAAGCCUGACGGAGCAACGCCGCGUGAGUGAUGAAGGUCUUCGGAUCGUAAAACUCUGUUAUUAGGGAAGAACAUACGUGUAAGUAACUGUGCACGUCUUGACGGUACCUAAUCAGAAAGCCACGGCUAACUACGUG
rnacentral:rRNA from 1 species